rnacentral:tRNA from 1 species
UCCCUGGUGGCUCAGUGGUAAAGAAUCUGCCUGCAAUGCAGGGGACCUGGGUUUGAUCCCUAGGUUGGGAA